CAUCACCCUCCUGGUACUUGGAUGUGUUCACCGACUUGAAAGCUCUUUGAACCCCAUACUACUGGAAUUUUUAUGGAGGUUUCAUCACUUGGAUGCUGUUUUGUUUUAUCAGAAAUACGAUCACCAUACUACUUAUCAAUUCAUUAAGUACUCAGUGUGCCAACUUGAAGGAAGAUCAGACUACAAGUUACAUUUAAGAGCCUGCAUAGUGACAUAAUAUGCAAUCUCCUUGGUCCCGGAGAACCAUGAAACGUUGAACAGUCAGACAGAGGCUGCCUAACCAGAUAGACGGCUCACCCGGGGAUCCCACAAGCACAUCUCAGCCCAGGAUCGGAAAGGAGUCUCCAGGGCGCACCUGCCCAGAGGGCGGCCGCGCUGCAGCUAAGCGGCAAUCACAUCCCCCGCCAGGGGCUGCGCGGACGCGGAGCCCUGCAACCCGAGCCGGGCACGGCCCCGCCGGGCGGUACCCGAGGGCACUCCGCGGGUUUGCUCGAGCCCGGGCGGACCGCGCCUCUCACCCACCUUCCCCGCGGGCGCCUCCAACUCGCCAGGUGUC